UACGUAGGCAGCAAGCGUUGUUCGGAAUUACUGGGCGUAAAGAGUGUGUAGGCGGUGUUCUAAGUCUGGUGUGAAAUCUCCCGGCUCAACUGGGAGGGUGCGCUAGAAACUGGAAUGCUAGAGGAUGGGAGAGGUAAGCGGAAUUCCUGGUGUAGCGGUGAAAUGCGUAGAUAUCGGGAGGAAUACCAGUGGCGAAGGCGGCUUCUUGGCCUAUUCUUGACGCUGAGGCGCGAAAGCUGGGGGAGCAAACGGG
rnacentral:rRNA from 1 species